GGAAUCUUCCGCAAUGGACGAAAGUCUGACGGAGCAACGCCGCGUGAGUGAUGAAGGAUUUCGGUCUGUAAAGCUCUGUUGUUUAUGACGAACGUGCAGUGUGUGAACAAUGCAUUGCAAUGACGGUAGUAAACGAGGAAGCCACGGCUAACUACGUGCCAGCAGCCGCGGUAAUACGUAGGUGGCGAGCGUUGUCCGGAAUUAUUGGGCGUAAAGAGCAUGUAGGCGGCUUAAUAAGUCGAGCGUGAAAAUGCGGGGCUCAACCCCGUAUGGCGCUGGAAACUGUUAGGCUUGAGUGCAGGAGAGGAAAGGGGAAUUCCCAGUGUAGCGGUGAAAUGCGUAGAUAUUGGGAGGAACACCAGUGGCGAAGGCGCCUUUCUGGACUGUGUCUGACGCUGAGAUGCGAAAGCCAGGGUAGCGAACGGG
rnacentral:rRNA from 1 species